CAACUAUUCUGGUUUACCUGAGACUAAGGAGGUUCUUGGGACAUGGGGCUUUUUGGUGUUAAAGCUGAGAAAGUCCUGGGCAAACCGGGACGAGUUGGCUACCCUCCCUCGAGACACCUCCUGAAAGUCUUUGAUAGCUUAUGUGAAAAGAGCAAGGUCAGGGUAUCUACUAUCCUUUCAAGGUCACCUCAGGCUGGCUUUCUUGCUAACUGAAGGUCACUGCUCUCACCAGGUGGUCUCCUCUACCCAAUCCUUCCCUUCCGGAUUCCAGGAAUCAUUUCCACUCUUUGUCAUUGGGGCCUGGGGGUGGUAGCAGCUCUGACACUACUAAUCCUGACUAUCUGCACCAUUCCUGUGGUUCCUCUCUGCUCUCCUGAACCUCAGUAAAUAGCACUUUUAAAAAUAACCCCCUCUUGAGUUAUCUAAAGAUGAAUGAGCCACGGUUUUCCAUGGGGACCCUGACUGAUGUGAGGGAAAAGGAGAAAUGUAGAAAUAAAUGUUAUCAGAAACCAUUAAGAUGCAAAGGUACUUAACCUCUCAAAGCCCCAGUUCCCCAUCCAUAAGCCUGUGAUCACCUCAUAGGGCUGUUAUAAGAAAUGAUUAAGAAAAUCUACUUAAAGCUAUUUGACAGCAUAUCAAAAGCACUCAGCAAAUUUUAGCCACCACUGUAGCUAUUAUUCUUUACUUCUCUUCUUAACAGAAACAAGCCAGAAGGCAAGAUCAGGCUUGCCAUUCUUCUGAGAAGGACCCCAGAAUCUCACCUCUCCAGAUGGCCUAAGCACUAUUCACAAGCACAAAGACAUGGAAUCAACCUAAAUGCCCAUCAGUGGAAGACUGAAUAAUGGAAAUCUGGUACAUAUACGCCACGGAAUACUAGGCAGCCAUAAAAAAGAAAGGCAUCCCACAUUUUGAGUAAUAUGGAUGGAGCUGGAGACCAUUAUCCUUAGCAAACUAAUGGAAGAACAGGAAACCAAAUACUGUAUGUUCUCACUUAUAAGUGGAUGCUAAAUGAUGAGAACACAUGGGCAUUUAAAGGGGAACAACACACACUGGGGCCUAUUGGAGGGUGGAGAGUGGGAGGAGGGAGAGGGUCAGGAAAAAUAACUAAUGAAUACUAGGCUUAAUACCUGGGUGAUGAAAUAAUCUGUACAACUAACUCCUGUGACACAUGUUUACCUAUAUAACCAACCGGC
rnacentral:lncRNA from 1 species